AGAGCGAACGCUGGCGGUCUGCUUAACACAUGCAAGUCGAACGGAGUAGCAAUACUUAGUGGCGGACGGGUGAGUAACGCGUGAGAAUCUACCUUCAGGACGGAGACAACAGUUGGAAACGACUGCUAACCCCCGAUGUACUGAAAAGGCAAAUAUUUAUAGCCUGAAGAAGAGCUCGCGUCCGAUUAGCUAGUUGGAGAGGUAAAAGCUCACCAAGGCGACGAUCGGUAGCUGGUCUGAGAGGACGAUCAGCCACACUGGGACUGAGACACGGCCCAGACUCCCACGGGAGGCAGCAGUGGGAAUUUUCCGCAAUGGGCGAAAGCCUGACGGAGCAAGACCGCGUGGGGGAAGAAGGCUCUUGGGUUGUAAACCCCUUUUCUCUGGGAAGAACACAAUGACGGUACCAGAGGAAUCAGCAUCGGCUAACUCCGUGCCAGCAGCCGC
rnacentral:rRNA from 1 species